rnacentral:rRNA from 1 species
GACGAACGCUGGCGGCGUGCUUAACACAUGCAAGUCGAGCGGUAAGGCCCUCGGGUACGACGAGCGGCGAACGGGUGAGUAACACGUGGGUGACCUGCCCUUACGCUCUGGGAUAAGCCUGGGAAACUGGGUCUAAUACCGGAUAUGACCUCAUGACGCAUGUUGUGGGGUGGAAAGCCUUGUGCGGCUAGGGAUGGGCCCGCGGCCUAUCAGCUUGUUGGUGGGGUGAUGGCCUACCAAGGCGACGACGGGUAGCCGGCCUGAGAGGGCGACCGGCCACACUGGGACUGAGACACGGCCCAGACUCCUACGGGAGGCAGCAGGUGGGGAAUCUUGCGCAAUGGGCGAAAGCCUGACGCAGCGACGCCGCGUGAGGGAUGACGGCC